rnacentral:rRNA from 1 species
AGUGAACGCUGGCGGUAGGCCUAACACAUACAAGUCGAACGGCAGCACAGUAAGAGCUUGCUCUUACGGGUGGCGAGUGGCGGACGGGUGAGGAAUACAUCGGAAUCUACUUUUUCGUGGGGGAUAACGUAGGGAAACUUACGCUAAUACCGCAUACGACCUACGGGUGAAAGCAGGGGAUCUUCGGACCUUGCGCGAUUGAAUGAGCCGAUGUCGGAUUAGCUAGUUGGCGGGGUAAAGGCCCACCAAGGCGACGAUCCGUAGCUGGUCUGAGAGGAUGAUCAGCCACACUGGAACUGAGACACGGUCCAGACUCCUACGGGAGGCAGCAGUGGGGAAUAUUGGACAAUGGGCGCAGGCCUGAUCCAGCCAUACCGCGUGGGUGAAGAAGGCCUUCGGGUUGUAAAGCCCUUUUGUUGGGAAAGAAAAGCAGCAGGUUAAUACCCCGCUGUUCUGACGGUACCCAAAGAAUAAGCACCGGCUAACUUCGUG